rnacentral:rRNA from 1 species
GACAGAGGGUGCGAGCGUUGUUCGGAAUUAUUGGGCGUAAAGGGCGCGUAGGCGGCUUUGUAAGUCAGAUGUGAAAUCCCAGGGCUUAACCCUGGAAGUGCAUCUGAUACUGCUUGGCUUGAAUCCUGGAGAGGGUGGUGGAAUUCCUGGUGUAGAGGUGAAAUUCGUAGAUAUCAGGAGGAACACCGGUGGCGAAGGCGACCACCUGGACAGAGAUUGACGCUGAGGCGCGAAAGCGUGGGGAGCAAACAGG